rnacentral:rRNA from 1 species
CCUACGAGAGGCUGCAGUGGGGAAUAUUGGACAAUGGGGGGAACCCUGAUCCAGCCAUGCCGCGUGUGUGAAGAAGGCCCUCGGGUUGUAAAGCACUUUCAGUGAGGAAGAACGCCUGGUGGUUAAUACCCAUCAGGAAAGACAUCACUCACAGAAGAAGCACCGGCUAACUCCGUGCCAGCAGCCGCGGUAAUACGGAGGGUGCGAGCGUUAAUCGGAAUUACUGGGCGUAAAGCGCGCGUAGGUGGCUUGAUAAGCCGGUUGUGAAAGCCCCGGGCUCAACCUGGGAACGGCAUCCGGAACUGUCAAGCUAGAGUGCAGGAGAGGAAGGUAGAAUUCCCGGUGUAGCGGUGAAAUGCGUAGAGAUCGGGAGGAAUACCAGUGGCGAAGGCGGCCUUCUGGACUGACACUGACACUGAGGUGCGAAAGCGUGGGUAGCAAACAGGAUUAGAUACCCCGGUAGUC